UAGGGAAUCUUCCGCAAUGGGCGAAAGCUUGACGGAGCAACGCCGCGUGAGUGAUGAAGGUCUUCGGAUAGUCAAACUCUGUUAUUAGGGAAGAACAAAUGUGUAAGUAACUAUGCACGUCUUGACGGUACCUAAUCAGAAAGCCACGGCUAACUACGUGCCAGCAGCCGCGGUAAUACGUAGGUGGCAAGCGUUAUCCGGAAUUAUUGGGCGUAAAGCGCGCGUAGGCGGUUUUUUAAGUCUGAUGUGAAAGCCCACGGCGCAACCGUGGAGGGUCAUUGGAAGCUGGAAAACUUGAGUGCAGAAGAAGAAAGUGGAAUUCCAGGUGUAGCGGUGAAAUGCGCAGAGAUAUGGAGGAACACCAGUGGCGAAGGCGACUUUCUGGUCUGUAACUGACGCUGAUGUGCGAAAGCGUGGAGCUCAAACAGG
rnacentral:rRNA from 1 species